CCUACGGGUGGCAGCAGUGAGGAAUAUUGGUCAAUGGGCUCACGCCUGAACCAGCCAAGUCGCGUGAGGGAUGACUGUCCUAUGGGUUGUAAACCUCUUUUGUCGGGGAGCAAGGCCCGCCACGUGUAGCCGGAAGGAGAGUACCCGAAGAAAAAGCAUCGGCUAACUCCGUGCCAGCAGCCGCGGUAAUACGGAGGAUGCGAGCGUUAUCCGGAUUUAUUGGGUUUAAAGGGUGCGUAGGCGGAAGGUUAAGUCAGCGGUAAAAUGGCGGUGCUCAACAUCGCUCUGCCGUUGAAACUGGCGUUCUUGAGUGAGCGAGAAGUAUGCGGAAUGCGUGGUGUAGCGGUGAAAUGCAUAGAUAUCACGCAGAACUCCGAUUGCGAAGGCAGCAUACCGGCGCUCAACUGACGCUGAGGCACGAAAGCGUGGGGAUCGAACAGGAUUAGAUACCCGUGUAGUC
rnacentral:rRNA from 1 species